rnacentral:rRNA from 1 species
UACAGAGGGUGCGAGCGUUGUCCGGAAUCAUUGGGCGUAAAGCGCGCGUAGGCGGCCCUGUUAGUCCGCUGUAAAAGUCAAAGGCUCAACCUUUGAAUGCCGGUGGAUACUGCAGGGCUAGAGUCCGGAAGAGGCGAGUGGAAUUCCUGGUGUAGCGGUGGAAUGCGCAGAUAUCAGGAGGAACACCAACGGCGAAGGCAGCUCGCUGGCCCGGUACUGACGCUGAGGUGCGAAAGCGUGGGGAGCAAACAGG